rnacentral:rRNA from 1 species
AUUGAACGCUGGCGGCAUGCUUUACACACGCAAGUCGAACGGCAGCACGGACUUCGGUCUGGUGGCGAGUGGCGAACGGGUGAGUAAUACAUCGGAACGUACCCAGUAAUGGGGGAUAACUAUCCGAAAGGAUAGCUAAUACCGCAUACGCCCUACGGGGGAAAGAGGGGGAUCGCAAGACCUCUUGUUAUUGGAGCGGCCGGUGGCUGAUUAACUAGUUGGUGGGGUAAAGGCCUACCAAGGCAACGAUCAGUAGCGGGUCUUAGAGGACGAUCCGCCACACUGGAACUGAGACACGGUCCAGACUCCUACGGGAGGCAGCAGUGGGGAAUCUUGGACAAUGGGCGCAAGCCUGAUCCAGCAAUGCCGCGUGCGUGAAGAAGGCCUUCGGGUUGUAAAGCGCUUUUGUCAGGGAGCAAAUCCUUGUGGCUAAUACCCACCGGGGAUGAGAGUACCUGAAGAAUAAGGACCGGCUAACUACGAGCCAGCCGCCGCAGUAAGAC